rnacentral:rRNA from 1 species
CGAAUUGAAGGCUGAAAUUCGCCUUCAUGAAGUCGGAAUUGCUAGUAAUGGCAGGUCAGCAUACUGCCGUGAAUACGUUCCCGGGCCUUGUACACACCGCCCGUCACACCAUGAGAGUUGGAGAUACCCGAAGCCUGUGAGCUAACUUUUAGAGGCAGCAGUCGAAGGUAGAAUCAAUGAUUGGGGUGAAGUCGUAACAAGGUAGC